rnacentral:rRNA from 1 species
GUGAGGAAUAUUGGUCAAUGGGCGGAAGCCUGAACCAGCCAUCCCGCGUGCAGGAAGAAUGCCCUAUGGGUUGUAAACUGCUUUUCCAGGGGAAGAAAACCCCCGACGUGUCGGGGCUUGCCGGUACCCUGGGAAUAAGCAUCGGCUAACUCCGUGCCAGCAGCCGCGGUAAUACGGAGGAUGCGAGCGUUAUCCGGAUUUAUUGGGUUUAAAGGGUGCGUAGGCGGACAAAUAAGUCAGUGGUGAAACCCUGCAGCUUAACUGUAGACUUGCCAUUGAUACUGUUAGUCUUGAGGAUGGUCAAGGUAGGCGGAAUGUGUAAUGUAGCGGUGAAAUGCUUAGAUAUUACACAGAACACCGAUUGCGAAGGCAGCUUACUGGGCCAUAACUGACGCUGAUGCACGAAAGCGUGGGGAGCGAACAGGAUUAGAAACCCCUGUAGUCC